rnacentral:tRNA from 1 species
GGAGGAAUACCCAAGUCCGGCUGAAGGGAUCGGUCUUGAAAACCGACAGGCGGGUUAAACCGCGCGGGGGUUCGAAUCCGCGCGGGGGUUCGAAUCCCUCUUCCUCCGCCA